rnacentral:misc_RNA from 1 species
AGAUUUGGAAUCAAUACACACACUCUCUCUUUUUCUCUAUUUUUGGUCUAUAUUUUCUUUUAGCUACCAUGGAUAGAAAAUUUGUAUUUCUAGUAUCAAUUUUGUGCAUGGUAGUGGCAAGUGUCACGGGUCAGACACCUGCCGCAGCACCCGUUGGUGCUAAGGCUGGUACUACUCCACCAGCUGCUGCACCAACUAAGCCGAAAACUCCUGCUCCCGCAACAGCACCAGCCUCGGCCCCACCUACAGCUGUUCCUGUUGCUCCAGUAACCGCUCCAGUUACUGCUCCCACUACACCUGUUGUUGCUGCACCCGUAUCAGCACCAGCAAGUUCUCCACCAGUUAAAGCACCAGCAAGUUCUCCACCAGUUAA